UCUAACCUGAGAUACCAUUCAAAGUCACUCCUCAAUAAACCCAGUAUUUACAGUUUUUGUUAGUCCUGUCUAUAGAAAUCUCAGUGGAAAUACGAAAAUUGUGUUUGUGUUACCAAUAACAAAGUGGUUCAAGUUUUCCUGAAGACAACUGAUUUAUUCAAAUCUCUAAUUUACUAGGAAGAUAAGUUCAAUGAUGCCUUAUCUGGGUAGAUAAGCGGAUAAAAUUGUGAAAUUUUACAAUUCUGUUAGAUGAGAAAUGGUUUGGUGUCUGGGAAAAACUUGUUUUCGGCACACCAUCAUCAUCAAUGAACCGGACAAAAAGAAGAAAAAAAAUGUUGUUAUUGGACAACGAAUAACUUUAAGUAAGCUGUAUCCGCAGGAACCUGUGAAUUCGAACACCAGACAGCACAAUGGUAUUUUGCGGCCAAGUGAAUCAGAGCUGAUAAACACCACAAAUUCAACAACUUCUACAUCCGACACAAGACAAGUAGGAGAAUCAUCACCAAAACAAGUGA